rnacentral:rRNA from 1 species
AUAGCGUAUAUUAAAGUUGUUGCAGUUAAAAAGCUCGUAGUUGAAACUUGGGUCUGGCUAGCGGGUCCGCCUCACCGCGUGCACUUGUCCGGCUGGACCUUUCCUUCUGGAGAACCUCAUGCCCUUCACUGGGUGUGUUGGGGAACCAGGACUUUUACUUUGAAAAAAUUAGAGUGUUCAAAGCAGGCUUAUGCUCGAAUACAUUAGCAUGGAAUAAUAAAAUAGGACGUGCGGUUCUAUUUUGUUGGUUUCUAGAGUCGCCGUAAUGAUUAAUAGGGAUAGUUGGGGGCAUUAGUAUUCAGUUGCUAGAGGUGAAAUUCUUGGAUUUACUGAAGACUAACUAUUG